AACGAACGCUGGCGGCAGGCUUAACACAUGCAAGUCGAGCGCCCCGCAAGGGGAGCGGCAGACGGGUGAGUAACACGUGGGAAUCUGCCUUUUGGUUCGGGAUAACCGCGGGAAACUGCGGCUAAUACCGAAUGCCCUCGUGAGAGGAAAGAUUUAUCGCCAGAAGAGGAGCCCGCGUCCGAUUAGGUAGUUGGUGGGGGUAAAGGCCUACCAAGCCGACGAUCGGUAGCUGGUCUGAGAGGAUGAUCAGCCACACUGGGACUGAGAUACGGCCCAGACUCCUACGGGAGGCAGCAGUGGGGAAUAUUGGACAAUGGGGGCAACCCUGAUCCAGCAAUGCCGCGUGAGUGAUGAAGGCCUUAGGGUUGCAAAGCUCUUUUGCCAGGGAAGAUGAUGACUGUACCUGGAGAAUAAGCCCCGGCUAACUUCGUGCCAGCAGCCGCGGUAAU
rnacentral:rRNA from 1 species